UCAAUCAGCAUGACAGAGUGAUCUCCUCAUCACUCACACCUGUGUUAAGGACAGAAAAUCACUGACAUGUAAGCUGGUCCUUUUGUGGCAGGGCUGAAAUGCAGUGGAAAAUAUUUUUGGGGGGAUUCAGUUCAUUUGCAUGGCAAAGAGGGACUUCACAAUUCAUCUGAUCACUCUUCAUAACAUUCUGGAGUAUAUGAAAAUUGCCAUCAUACAAACUGAAAAUGUAUAUUUGUCAUUCUCAACUUUUGGCCACGACUGUACAUUAGUCAACCCAGAAUGUAUUUUCUUUCCCAUUGUGAUAAGAUAAUUGAUCUGUUUAAGGCUUUGACUAAAGUAUUCCACUCUGAAACCAUAUAACUUUGUGAAAUGUAUUCGAAUGAAUAAUUCUAUAAUGAUGUGUUAAAGACUAUAAUCCAAUACUGUGUGUGAGUAGGUAGACUUUUUAAGACUAGGACACUGUUACUAUUUCAAAAUGAGCAGGGCAUAGUUGAUAAGACGACCUUGUGAAAGUAACAGGAAAAGGGGCCUGUCCCUGUCGUCCAAUCCCUGUCGUCCAAAGGUGACACGCCGAAAACCGUGCACGGGCGGGUCUUUGACCCGUAAAUUAAAGACCUGUCCCCUGACAUUGGGGUUCCAUAACAGGCCGGCAUAUACCUAAGGUCGGCAGAGACGGUGACGGAAUCCAACCAACAUUGCUUUUCCCAGCCUACAAGACGAAGACCAAGGUGAAGUACCUGAAGCAGACAUCAGUGAUACUCCAGAGAGAGUUUAGAGGGGACAUCUCUAACACAGUGGAGGGCCUGGUACGACUACCUGGAGUUGGACCCAAGAUGGCUCACCUGGCACCAGGUCUCUGGCAUAGGUGGGACCAAGAACCCAGAGGAGAGAAGCAAGGCCCUGGAAGACUGGUUACCAAGGGAUCUAUGGAGUGAGAUCAACUGGUCGCUGGUGGGGUUUGGUCAACAGGUGUGUCUACCUGUCAAUCCUCUCUGCUCCGUGUGUCUGAACAAGCACAGCUGCCCCUCCGCCCACCAAGCCUCCCCAGCCAAGAGGCCUAAAGCUGGGUCACCUCGCUCACCACACUCCCCCAAGACCUCCAGGGUCAAGCUGGAACCUGGUUCUCUUGGUUUGGGGUUACCACCCCCUUCCUCCUCCUCCUCAGCCACACCUGUCAAAGAGGAACCUCUGGCUACCGCCCUCUCCCCUCCUCUGCUGCCCAGAAAAAGGAAGUCCAAAGCCAAAACCUUCUCUACAUGAUACGACAGAAGGGACUAGAAUCCCUAUAGAGAUAUAGGGUCCUUCCUCCCAAAGUGUGCACUUGUCACUUCCCUGACUGAUUUGAAAUGAGCGGUACUAGAAAUAUGGUGGUAACUCCUACUAGCCCAGUGGUAUUAACUUCUUUAGCGGGGAGACCAUUUUCAGACCGAAUUUCUGUGGACCCCAUUUAUUUUGCUAGAAUUUCACAACCCCACCCCAAAAAAAACCUUCAAAUCGUUACAUUCAGAUCAACUAAUGACCAAUUCAUUAUAUUUUCAUAUUUAUCAAACUGAAAACCAAUAAAUAAAAGUACUCAAUAAAAUUGUAUUUUUCAAAUGAU